UACGUAGGGUGCGAGCGUUAAUCGGAAUUACUGGGCGUAAAGGGUGCGUAGGUGGUGAGGUAAGUCGGAUGUGAAAGCUCGGAGCUCAACUCCGAAAUGGCAUUGGAAACUACCUUGCUCGAGGGUUGGAGGGGGGACUGGAAUGCUUGGUGUAGCAGUGAAAUGCGUAGAUAUCAAGCGGAACACCAGUGGCGAAGGCGAGUCCCUGGACAACUCCUGACACUGAGGCACGAAAGCUAGGGGAGCAAACAGG
rnacentral:rRNA from 1 species